rnacentral:rRNA from 1 species
CCCCUAGAUGUUCUGGGCCGCACGCGCGCUACACUGAACAGUUCAACAAGUCUUAACCUUGGCCGAUAGGUCUGGGUAAUCUUUGAACGCUGUUCGUGAUUGGGAUAGACCUUUGCAAUUAUGGGUCUUCAACGAGGAAUUCCUAGUAAACGCAAGUCAUCAGCUUGCAUUGAUUACGUCCCUGCCCUUUGUACACACCGCCCGUCGCACCUACCGAUUGAAUGGUCCGGUGAAAUCUCGGGACGGCGGCUCGGUCGCUUGCGUCCGACUGCUGAAACUUGAUUAAACCAUAUCAUCUAGAGGAAGGUGAAGUCGUAACA